rnacentral:rRNA from 1 species
UACGUAGGGUGCGAGCGUUAAUCGGAAUUAUUGGGCGUAAAGCGUGCGCAGGCGGCGCGUUAAGACAGGUGUGAAAGCCCCGAGCUUAACUUGGGAAUUGCGCUUGUGACUGGCGUGCUGGAGUGUGGCAGAGGGAGGUGGAAUUCCACGUGUAGCAGUGAAAUGCGUAGAUAUCAAGUGGAACACCAGUGGCGAAGGCGAGUCUCUGGACAUUUCCUGACGCUGAGGCACGAAAGCCAGGGGAGCAAACGGG